rnacentral:rRNA from 1 species
UACGGAGGGUGCGAGCGUUGUCCGGAAUCAUUGGGCGUAAAGGGCGCGUAGGUGGCCCAGUCAGCGUGCGGUGAAAGCUCGGGGCUCAACCCCGAGUCGGCCGUGCGAACUGCUGGGCUCGAGCACUGUAGAGGCAGGCGGAAUUCCGGGUGUAGCGGUGGAAUGCGUAGAGAUCCGGAAGAACACCGGUGGCGAAGGCGGCCUGCUGGGCAGUGGCUGACACUGAGGCGCGACAGCGUGGGGAGCAAACAGG